AGUGAACGCUGGCGGUAGGCCUAACACAUGCAAGUCGAACGGCAGCACCGUAAGAGCUUGCUCUUACGGGUGGCGAGUGGCGGACGGGUGAGGAGUACAUAGGAAUCUCCUUUUUCGUGGGGGAUACCGGAGAGAGACUGACGCUAAUACAUCUUACGACCUCCUGGUAAAAGCAUGGGAGCUUCGGACCUUUCGGGUGUGAGUGGGCCGAUGGCGGAUUAGCUAGUUGGCGGGGUUAAGGCCCAACCAGGCGACUAUCCGUAGCUGGUCUGAGGGGAUGAGCAGCCACAGUGGAACUGAGACACGGUCCAGACUCCUACGGGAGGCAGCAGUGGGGAAUAUUGGACAAUGGGCGCAAGCCGGAACCAGCAAUACCGCGUGGGUGAAGAAGGCCUUCGGGUUGUAAAGCCCUUUUGUUGGGAGAGAAAAGCAGCAGGGUAACACCCCGCUGUUCUGACGGUACCCAAAGAAUAAGCACCGGCUAACUUCGUG
rnacentral:rRNA from 1 species